AAGUGUUGGUCCCUUACUAAAUUUGUGUUUUAAAUGUUAAAGCUUCAUUAUCUGAAGCCAUGCUCACAUGGUAAUUCUUUUUUGAGAUUUUUACAAGUUCCCUAUACGAAGUACUGUAUCCUAAAAAAAUACAAUAAAAACAUAUCUGUAAGCAGUGUCACCGUCCUUGCAUCUCCUAUGUUCAGGAGGCCUUCACCUCAUCCGAGGAUGUUGGCGCUCCGUGUCUGUGUGUGUGUUACUUUAUUUUAAUAUUGCAGCUGCACGAUGCUCAAUAUCGAGGUUAUCAUUUGUCGUCGAGGCAACAAAAUGAUUAUACGGAUUGUUUGUUUAUCCAUGUUUCUAUCUGCAAUUUUUUAUAUAAGACUAUUAUUUUUCAUCGAUUUAUUUUUUGCUACCUCCAUGUGAGCAGAGAGAAGGUAUUCGACUUUCAUGGUUCAAAGGACUGAUGUUUUCACUUUUAUUGUCGCACAAAUGGUCUAUCUCUUAUGAACUAAAAGAAAUUUAGGUCCAACAACCAAGCUUAUUUUAUAGCUGCUAUAAAUCAAUUGAGCAGACUAGGAGGUAUUCCAUUAAUUAUCACCUGUGUGGAUGCAAGGAAUUCCAUAAUGAUAUUCCAUAUUCCACUAGAAGAGUACUUCAAGAAAACGACAUUUUUGUUCUUGGAAUUCUGUGCAUAAUAGAAGUUGCUUGCCUUAGAAUGUUGUGAAUUUCUGUUGUGUCCGUUUUUUGCAUGAUCUCUUCACAUGAAUGGGGAUUGAUGCCACAACGAUAUUCUUCACUAUUUGUGUUCUAGCAACCAUUCCUACUAUUGUGUAGUAGUAGUAGUUCUAUUAUUUCAGAGUCCGCCAUCUAUGAGGUGCAUACUCAAUCACCAGCAGUAUCAUCACACAAUGUUUUUUCUUACUCUUUGUGGUACAUGUUACGCCUUCUUCAUCCGGCAAUAACAUCCUAGGAGUUAUGCUUAUCCACGAGUUAAUUUGUUGCAGGUACCUAUGUUUUUAAGGCGUCGCCUAAGCGUCGCCUAGUCGUCGCCUAAGCGUCAAGGCGCCCCAGGAUGGCAAGGCGUCUACCCCGCCUUAGACAGACAUGAAGUGUACGGCUGUGGCUGCCCUAGUUCUGGCUGCUCCUGGGGCUUGGAGAUGACGGCCCCGCUGUCUCCCGGCACCAUGAAGAGGAGGGAGGACUGGGGGCUCCUGGGGCUUGCUGCUGUGAGGGAGAAGGGUGGGGCCAUGAAGAGGAGGGAGGGAGGACCAGAAGGGUGUGGCUUCGUGGCGGCUGUGGUGGGAAAGAAGGGAAGGAGAUAGUGGAAUUAGGUCACGGGGGUGUAUAUGGCCACUAGAUGGGCUUUUGGGCCACUGGGAGGUGCAUAAGUAGUGGCCCAUCUCUCAGCCAUUGCUCUUUUUCUAGUAUUAAUAUGUGCAGACCUAUUGAUGACUCUUUUCCUGCAAUGUUUAAGGCGUCGCCUUGCCUCGCCUUACCGCCUCGCCUUGGCGCUUAGGCGUCAGAGCGGCCCUCCUCCGCCUUAUGACGCUUUACCGCCUUAAAAACAUAGGCAGGUACAAUCGCCAAGUCCUUGGGACUGGAUCUGGGUUUUUCUGGUUCCAGAAUUCCUUGGCGAAGAAUUCCCAAUGAUUGCUAGCCAGGAUAGCUCAGUGGAAUGUCAUAUCCUAUCCAAUAUCCAAAUAUAUGUUAAUAUUCGCUUGGGUUCCACGCUUAUGUUUUCUUAAUGAUUC